rnacentral:rRNA from 1 species
GUGUCAGCCGCCGCGGUAAUACAGAGGGUGCAAGCGUUGUUCGGAAUUAUUGGGCGUAAAGGGCGCGUAGGCGGUGCGGUAAGUCUUUUGUGAAAUCUCCGGGCUCAACUCGGAGUCUGCAGGAGAAACUGCCGUGCUUGAGUAUGGGAGAGGUGAGUGGAAUUCCUGGUGUAGCGGUGAAAUGCGUAGAUAUCAGGAGGAACACCUGUGGCGAAAGCGGCUCACUGGACCAUUACUGACGCUGAGGCGCGAAAGCUAGGGGAGCAAACAGGAUUAGAUACCCUAGUAGUCC